GCGACACGAGCGCGAGGCGGCGCUGUGGAGACUGAAGAAUGGAAGGGAAAGCGGAGGUUGGAGUUGAGCGUCGCCCCGUCCGCCUCAGCUCGUCCGUUCGAGCAGCGGGGCUCCCUGGUGGAGACAGACUGACCCCUCUCAGAGAAUAUUGGAGGACUGGCCCAUGGUCAAAUACAAAAAAAGGGGAGGAGGAAGCCACCUAAAGGACUUCGCUUUUCCAAUUUGCACCUUAAGCAGGAUCGCUCUGGCUCCUG